rnacentral:rRNA from 1 species
CACAUGCAAGUCGAACGGGCGUAGCAAUACGUCAGUGGCAGACGGGUGAGUAACGCGUGGGAACAUACCUCUUGGUUCGGAACAACACAGGGAAACUUGUGCUAAUACCGGAUAAGCCCUUACGGGGAAAGAUUUAUCGCCGAGAGAUUGGCCCGCGUCUGAUUAGCUAGUUGGUGGGGUAAAGGCCUACCAAGGCGACGAUCAGUAGCUGGUCUGAGAGGAUGAUCAGCCACAUUGGGACUGAGACACGGCCCAAACUCCUACGGGAGGCAGCAGUGGGGAAUAUUGGACAAUGGGCGCAAGCCUGAUCCAGCCAUGCCGCGUGAGUGAUGAAGGCCCUAGGGUUGUAAAGCUCUUUUGUACGGGAAGAUAAUGACGGUACCGUAAGAAUAAGCCCCGGCUAACUUCGUGCCAGCAGCCGCGGUAAUACGAAGGGGGCUAGCGUUGCUCGGAAUCACUGGGCGUAAAGGGUGCGUAGGCGGGUUUUUAAGUCAGAGGUGAAAUCCUGGAGCUCAACUCCAGAACUGCCUUUGAUACUGAAAGUCUUGAGUAUGGGAGAGGUGAGUGGAACUGCGAGUGUAGAGGUGAAAUUCGUAGAUAUUCGCAAGAACACCAGUGGCGAAGGCGGCUCACUGGCCCAUAACUGACGCUGAGGCACGAAAGCGUGGGGAGCAAACAGGAUUAGAUACCCUGGUAGUCCACGCCGU